rnacentral:lncRNA from 1 species
CAUUGCAUUGCAUUGCUUUGCACGGAGCUCCAUUGCAUUGCGUUGCACUGACACUCCAUUGCUUUGCUUUGCAUUGCUUUGCUUUGCUUUGCUUUGCAUUGCUUUGCAUUGCACUGACACUCCAUUGCUUUGCAUUGCUUUGCUUUGCUUUGCUUUGCAUUGCAUUGCAUUGCUUUGCACGGAGCUCCGUUGCAUUGCAUUGCACUGGCACUGCUUUGCUUUGCUUUGCUUUGCUUUGCACAGAGCUCCGUUGCUUUGCAUUGCUUUGCAUUGCUUUGCAUUGCUUUGCAUUGCUUUGCAUUGCUUUGCAUUGCACUGCACAGACCCCCAUUGCAUUUCAUGGGCCUCCAUUGCAUUGCAUUGCACUGCACGGAGCUGCAUUGCUCUGCUUUGCUCUGCAUUGCUCUGACACUCCAUUGUAUUGCAUUGCACGGAGCUCUGUUGCUUUGCUUUGCAUUGCACUGGCACUCCAUUGUUUCACAUUGCUUUGCUUUGCAUUGCAUUGCAGGGAGCUCCAUUGCUUUGCCUUGCCUUGCAUUGCACUGACACUGCGUUGCUUUGCAUUGCUUUGCAUUGCUUUGCAUUGCUUUGCAUUGCUUUGCAUUGCACUGAGCAACAUUGCAUUGCAUUGCACUGCACGGAGCUGCAUUGCUCUGCUUUGCAUUGCGUUGCUCUGACACUUCAUUGCAUUGCGCUGCACGGACUUCCAUUACUUUGCAUUGCAUUGCAUUGCACGGACCUUCAUUGCUUUGCAUGGCGUUGCACGGAGCUGCGUUGCUUUGCACAGCUUUGCUUUGCGUUGCAUUGCACUGACACUGCAUUGCUUUGCUUUGCUUUGCUGCACUUUGUGUUGCACUGACGCUUUGUUGCUUUGCACAGAGCUCCUUUGCAUUGCAUUGCUUUGCUUUGCUUUGCUUUGCAUUGCAUUGCAUAGAGCUCCAUUGCUUUGCUUUGCAUUGCGUUGCAUUGCACUGACACUGCUUUGCUUUGCUUUGCUUCACUUUGCGUUGCACUGAAACUUUGUUGCUUUGCACAGAGCUCCUUUGCAUUGCAUUGCAUUGCUUUGCAUUGCGUUGCAUUGCGUUGCAUUGCACUGACACUGCUUUGCUUUGCUUUGCUUUGCUUUGCUUUGCACCGAGCUCCAUCGCAUUGCACUGCUCUGCAUUGCUUUUGCUCUCCGUUGCUUUUGCUCUCCGUUUCUUUUGCUCUGCAUUGCUUUUGCUCUGCAUUGCAUGGCUUUGCUUUGCACUGCUUUGUAUUGCACUGCAUUGCACUGCUCUGCUUUGCAUUGCUCAUUGCUUUGCUUUGCAUUGCUCUGCUUUGCUCUGCAUUGCAUUGCAUUGCAUUGCUUUGCUUUGCUUUGCUUUGCACUGCUUUGCUCUGCAUUGCAUUGCUUUGCUUUGCUUUGCACUGCUUUGC